AACGAACGCUGGCGGCACGUUUUAAGCAUGCAAGUCGAACGGCAGUGGGGGCAACCCCAUGAGAGUGGCGAACGGGUGAGUAACACGUAGGUGAUCUGCCUUUGGGUUGGGGAUAGCUUGUGGAAACACAGGGUAAUACCGAAUGAGCUGACGAGGCUUUGGCCAUGUUAGUAAAGGUGCUACGGCACCGCCUAGAGAGGAGCCUGCGGCUGAUUAGCUAGUUGGUGGGGUAAAGGCCUACCAAGGCGACGAUCAGUAGCCGGCCUGAGAGGGUGUACGGCCACACUGGAACUGAGACACGGUCCAGACUCCUACGGGAGGCAGCAGCUAAGAAUCUUCCGCAAUGGGCGAAAGCCUGACGGAGCGAUGCCGCGUGAUCGAUGAAGGUCGAGAGAUUGUAAAGAUCUUUUCCAACUGAGGAAUAAGUGGACCAGGGAAUGGGUUCAUGAUGACGUUAAGUUGGGAAUAAGCCCCGGCUAAUUACGUG
rnacentral:rRNA from 1 species